rnacentral:miRNA from 9 species
AGGCGGAACGAGAGCAACUUUG